UAGGUUUCUAUUGGUGCAAUGACAUCAUCAUUACGGCAUAACCUAACACAUACACAGAACAUAAAGGUAAAAAAGAGCACAUAAAUUGUAACUGUGUAUGCCCUUUUCAGUUAUUUCAUUUUUCAACUAUAAAAAAAUCUCCCACCCAACUUGAAGCUUUGAUUAAUUUUGUUAACUGCCUAAAAGUUCCUGGGAUUACUGAUUUUCCAAAGAAAAACGCACGAGUUUGCUCCAAUCAUGUCAAAGAUACAGAGCCCACAUUACAAAAUUCUCAUCCCACUGAAAACCUUUGAUGCGAUUUUAAACAUAAAGUUGUUACUUUGUGCCCUAGUUCUCAACCAGAUAUCCACAUAAGGCAUAUCCACAGAACAUAAAGAAAAAAGUGCAUUAAAUCUAAUUAUUCAUCCGCUAUUCAGUUAUCUCCUAAAUCAAAUAUAUUUCUGAAUAAAAGUUCUUACAACAUGGAUAUUUAAGAAUAGUAAUCUAAAUAUUAAUACUGCAGUGAAUAUUAUUAGUGUCGUUUCACUUUCGUUUUUGGGGUAGUUUCUAGACUUUUCUAAACGCGGUAUUAUAUUCCACGCCGUCUUUCAAGCAAGGUUUUCAAGCAAGUUAGAGUUGAUAUAUUUUUAGUUUUAAGGAGAAUUGAUGUUUUCCAUUGUUUAAAAACUAAAACAAAAAUUUAAAUAAUUGUUUGUUUGUUGUUGGUUGUUUUUCACUUUUCUAAUUUUUAUAGCCUGUUUUCAUUAUUCAGAAGAAAUUACAACUAAAAUGACUGAGCAGUAAGAGGAGCUGAUGUCGUUUUUAGUUCGUCAUAUGACGCAUUAAUACAAUGUAAAAGAUCAAAGUUAUCAUGUUUUUUAAAAAUUUGUUAUACACGUGUUUGAUUGUGAAAUUAGUUUUUUUAGUUUGAAACGUAUUUGUACUCAGCUUCUUAGUAGUUCCUGUAUAAGUUCAUAUCAACCUCAAUUUACUAUAAAUUUAGCUAUAGCCAAGACAAUAAAUUUAGCUAUAUAAAUGCAAUUAAUUUAUAUCUCAAUUUGAUUUUUUAUCUUCAA